rnacentral:rRNA from 1 species
GAUGAACGCUGGCGGCGUGCCUAAUACAUGCAAGUCGAGCGAACAGACGAGGAGCUUGCUCCUCUGACGUUAGCGGCGGACGGGUGAGUAACACGUGGAUAACCUACCUAUAAGACUGGGAUAACUUCGGGAAACCGGAGCUAAUACCGGAUAAUAUAUUGAACCGCAUGGUCCAAUAGUGAAAGACGGUUUUGCUGUCACUUAUAGAUGGAUCCGCGCCGCAUUUGCUAGUUGGUAGGGUAACGGCAUACCAAGGCAACCAUGCGUAGGCGCCACGAGAGGGUGGAUGGCCACCUUGGAACUGAGACACGGUCGACACUCCUGGGCUAGGCCACAGUCGGGAAUCUUCCGCAAUGGGGGAAAGCCUGACGGAGGAACACCGCGUGAGUGAUGAACGACUCGGGAUGGUAGAGCUAUGUUAUUAUGAGAGAACUAAUGUGUUUGUAACUAUGCACAUCUUGACGGUACCUGAACAGGAAGCCACGGCUAACUACGUG